rnacentral:lncRNA from 1 species
CUUUAAAAAAAAAAAACUUUCAUUAAUUAAUGUUGUAACAUUCUAAUAAUUUCAUAUCGAAUGAAAAAGGGCUUUUGAUUGAGAAUAUAAAAGGCUGCGUGCGCACUUUAGUAAUAAUAACUAAAUUUAAGCAUUGUUGGCCGAUGGUUUGAGUCCCACGAGUUAUCAUUAUCAGAAUAUUUAUAAAAAUUAAGUGUUAUGCAGAUAUGUGAUCAGAUCUGGA